CCUACGGGUGGCAGCAGUGGGGAAUAUUGGGCAAUGGGCGAAAGCCUGACCCAGCAACGCCGCGUGAAGGAAGAAGGCUUUCGGGUUGUAAACCUCUUUUGACAGGGAAGAGCAGAAGACGGUACCUGUCGAAUAAGGCACGGCUAACUACGUGCCAGCAGCCGCGGUAAUACGUAGGUGGCAAGCGAUGUCCGGAUGUACUGGGGGUAAAGGGCGUGUAGGCGGGCUGACAAGUCAGAUGUGAAAGCCGGGGGCUCAACCCCCGAACUGCAGUUGAAACUGUUGGUCUUGAGUAUCGGAGAGGCAGGCGGAAUUCCUGGUGUAGCGGUGAAAUGCGUAGAUAUUAGGAGGAACACCAGUGGCGAAGGCGGCCUACUGGACGACAACUGACGGUGAGGCGCGAAAGCGUGGGGAGCAAACAGGAUUAGAUACCCCAGUAGUC
rnacentral:rRNA from 1 species